rnacentral:rRNA from 1 species
GAUGAACGCUGGCGGCGUGCCUAAUACAUGCAAGUCGAGCGAACAGACGAGGAGCUUGCUCCUCUGACGUUAGCGGCGGACGGGUGAGUAACACGUGGAUAACCUACCUAUAAGACUGGGAUAACUUCGGGAAACCGGAGCUAAUACCGGAUAAUAUAUUGAACCGCAUGGUUCAAUAGUGAAAGACGGUUUUGCUGUCACUUAUAGAUGGAUCCGCGCCGCAUUAGCUAGCUGGUAAGGUAACGGCUUACCAAGGCAACGAUGCGUAGCCGACCUGAGAGGGUGAUCGGCCACACUGGAACUGAGACACGGUCCAGACUCCUACGGGAGGCAGCAGUAGGGAAUCUUCCGCAAAGGGCGAAAGCCUGACGGAGCAACGCCGCGUGAGUGAUGAAGGUCUUCGGAUCGUAAAACUCUGUUAUUAGGGAAGAACAAAUGUGUAAGUAACUAUGCACGUCUUGACGGUACCUAAUCAGAAAGCCACGGCUAACUACGUG